rnacentral:lncRNA from 1 species
AUUAUUGUCUCCUAAUUAUGUCCAUUUGUAAAUAUUUCAAUGGUUAUGAUUGUACGAGCUUGUUGCUAUGACGAUGACAGAACUAUAUGGUACAUAUGCAAUCAUGAUAGUCAUGUAAAAUAAAAAAUCUUUAAGUUAAAUAUAGCUAAAUAUUAAGUAAAUUAAGUAUAAGUAAGUUUAUAUAGUUUAACAUAAUACAAUCAAAUAUUGGUCUAAUAGAUAGAGAGAUAGGGG